AACGCGAAGAACCUUACCCAGACUUGACAUGCAGUAGACAGUGCCGGAAACGGCAUCUUCCUUCGGGACUGCUGCACAGGUGCUGCAUGGCUGUCGUCAGCUCGUGCCGUGAGGUGUUGGGUUAAGUCCCGCAACGAGCGCAACCCUUAUCAUUAUUUGCCAACAUUUUAGGUGGGAACUCUAAUGAGACUGCCCGGGUUAACCGGGAGGAAGGUGAGGAUGACGUCAAGUCCGCAUGGCCCUUAUGUCUGGGGCUACACACGUGCUACAAUGGUCGGUACAGAAGGCAGCGAAGCCGCGAGGUGAAGCAAAUCUAAAAAGCCGAUCCCAGUUCAGAUUGUAGUCUGCAACUCGACUACAUGAAGAUGGAAUUGCUAGUAAUGGCGAGUCAGCAACAUUGCCGUGAAUACGUUCCCGGGCCUUGUACACACCGCAUAC
rnacentral:rRNA from 1 species